GACAACGCUGGCGGCGUGCCUGACACAUGCAAGUCGGACGGUUCUUGCACCUUCAAGCUUGCUUGCUGGUGCAGGGAUAGUGGCGGACGGGUGAGUAACGCGUGAACAUCUACCCAUUGGAGGGGGACAACCCGUCGAAAGGCGGGCUAAUACCGCGUAAGCCGUGAGGUGAGAGGCUGCCUAUUGGUGGCCGCCGAUGGAUGGGUUCGCGUCCUAUCAGCUGGUUGGUGGGGUAACGGCCUACCAAGGCGAAGACGGGUAGCCGGUCUGAGAGGAUGGCCGGCCACACUGGAACUGAGACACGGUCCAGACUCCUACGGGAGGCAGCAGUGGGGAAUAUUGGGCAAUGGGGGUAACCCUGACCCAGCGACGCCGCGUGAGGGACGAAGGUUUUCGGAUCGUAAACCUCUGUUGUACGGGAAGAAGGAAUUGACGGUACCGUACGAGAAAGCCCCGGCAAACUACGUG
rnacentral:rRNA from 1 species